GGGGCUGUAGCUCAAUGGUAGAGCACUUGCCUGGCAUGUGUAAGGCACUGGGUUCAAUCCUCAGUACCA
rnacentral:tRNA from 1 species